GGAGCUGGGCCCGGCUGCGCACACUCCGACGGCCGCGCGCGCUCCCUCCCGGGCCGUGAGCCAGCCCCCCGCCCCUCCGGACACAGACCCAGGCAUUCGCGCACACGCGCACUCGCGCGCCCCCCGGGACCCUGCCCAGGCACCAACCUGCUGCUCCUAGGGACGCGGCCGGCGCGCUUCCCCUUAGGAACCUGCAGUUCACCUUCUGUCCCUUUCUCUCAACCCCAGCCAUCCAUCCACAUUACUGAGGUUAACUGAGGCCCAGAGAGAUUCAUGAUUUUCUCAAGAAGAUACAACUCAUCAGUCUUGGGACAGAAUGCCCAUUUAAUUGAUUUCCAAAGCUCUUUGACUUAAUACAGUCAACCUUGAUAACUAAUUCUAAAGAAGAGAACUUUUUUCCAUAAUUUACCUAUCAAUCUCACAUAUAAUAAUAACAGUUAAUAUUUGUGUAGCCCUUACACUACUAAGCCAAUCCUCAUAGCAAUACAGAGAAAUGGAUGCAAUCAUUAUCGCCAUUUCACAGAUAAGGAAACUGAGGCAAACAGAAGUUAAGUGACUUGUAUAGUGUCUGAAGUGUCUGAAACUGAAUUUGAACUCAAAUUUUUCUGAUUCCAGCACAGGUGCUCCAUCUACUGCAUCUCCUAGUUGUUGAUACUUUUCUUAUUGCAUAUAUUUGACAAUUUCAAAAUAGCCUCUAUCAAAUUUAAAGCAUGUUACUCCAACCCUCUGGAGAAUGCAUAAUGAUUCCCCAAAGACUGACAUUCAAGGCUCCCUACAACCCAGACAUUAUUUUAUCUUAUCUAUCUAAACUUAAUUUUCUAAUACUCCCCAAUAAUUUUUCUUGACUCAUUCGUGUUUCUGUCACCUUCUUCCUCCUUUCUGGAUAUCCAUGCUUUACCUGUCUUUCAAUCUAGAACGAAACCCCACCUCCACCUCAACAUAACCUUUCCCAUUAUUUUCCAGCAGCACUAAUUGAUUCACCAACUAUUUAUUAAGCAUCUAUUACCUAUGAAGCAGCAUGUAGAUAAAAGGAAAGGGGGGAAUUCAGUCACCGAAGUGCUGGUAAAUAUUUAACCCAACAACUGACCCAUGUCCUAAGAGUACAGAAACAAUGCUGUUUCCAUUGUACCGAACAUGCCAUACAUUUUUUUUGAAUUUACUGACUUUUUCUUCGACAAAAGUAAUUAUAAACAACAUAAAACAAACUUUUCAAAGCCCCAAAACAAAUACCAACUUUUUUUUAAAGUGACUGCAACUGAAUCGUUCUGCCAUUUAUUAAUGAAUAAAUCACGAAGAUCAUGCACAUUAAUUUUUGUGAAAGUAAUACCAAUGUUGUUCCUUGGAUUUACUAUUCCUUUCAUUUCUGUUCGAUGUUGGCUUCUUUAGACAUAGUUUAAAUGAGUGUUAUACCAUAAAUUUUGGCAUUUUAUUAUAUUGAGGCUGAUCAGUAAUCACAUACCUGGCAUGCAGGUCUCAGAAUUUUGAACAUUGAAGGAAACUUAAGAUCCAAUGGUCUCCAAUGUAACAGGCAGUGAAAUAAAUCCUCUAGUACCAGGAUUAACACCGCCCUCGAGAGGGGUGGGGGGGGAUCUGUAAUCAACCAAUGAGAAGGUAGGAAGAUCAUUGGAAUCCCAGCCUCCACACCCUUGCUAGAAGAUAAGGAACUAGGCUCCACACAAUCACUUCAUUCCCUUAAAUAAUUUCCCAUUCCACCCCCUCCAACUAUAGACAUUCCUGGCUUCUUGGGGCGGAGGCUCCUUGGGGCUGUUAUAAUCGAUUGUAGACAUUGUGUCCAGGACAAUCUAGUGAAGUCUAUGGGCGUUUAGUUUUUAAAUGCACAAAAUAAAAUAGCUUACAGAGAAAA